UGGUGGAGUGAUUUGUCUGGUUAAUUCCGAUAACGAACGAGAUCCUAACCAUUUAACUAGCUAAAGUCACUACGGUGGCUUCAAUGCUUCUUAGGGGAACAAUGCGGAAUACCUACCGCAGGGAAGUGGGGCCAUAACA
rnacentral:rRNA from 1 species